UACGUAGGGGGCUAGCGUUGCUCGGAAUCACUGGGCGUAAAGCGCACGCAGGCGGACUCUUAAGUCGGUGGUGAAAUCCUGGAGCUCAACUCCAGAACUGCCUUUGAUACUGAGGAUCUUGAGUACGGGAGAGGUGAGUGGAACUGCGAGUGUAGAGGUGAAAUUCGUAGAUAUUCGCAAGAACACCAGUGGCGAAGGCGGCGCUCUGGGCCGGUACUGACGCUGAGGAGCGAAAGCGUGGGGAGCAAACAGG
rnacentral:rRNA from 1 species